UACGGAGGGGGCUAGCGUUGUUCGGAAUUACUGGGCGUAAAGCGCACGUAGGCGGCUUUGUAAGUUAGAGGUGAAAGCCCGGGGCUCAACUCCGGAAUUGCCUUUAAGACUGCAUCGCUAGAAUUGUGGAGAGGUAAGUGGAAUUCCGAGUGUAGAGGUGAAAUUCGUAGAUAUUCGGAAGAACACCAGUGGCGAAGGCGACUUACUGGACCGGUACUGACGCUGAUGCGCGAAAGCGUGGGGAGCAAACGGG
rnacentral:rRNA from 1 species